UACUCCUACGGGAGGCAGCAGUAGGGAAUCUUCCGCAAUGGACGAAAGUCUGACGGAGCGACGCCGCGUGAGCGAAGAAGGUCUUCGGAUCGUAAAGCUCAGUUGUUAGGGAAGAAGAAGUACCGUUCGAAUAGGGCGGUACGGUGACGGUACCUAACGAGAAAGCCCCGGCUAACUACGUGCCAGCAGCCGCGGUAAU
rnacentral:rRNA from 1 species